rnacentral:rRNA from 1 species
CAGUAGCCGCGGUAAUACGUAGGUCCCGAGCGUUGUCCGGAUUUAUUGGGCGUAAAGCGAGCGCAGGCGGUUAGAUAAGUCUGAAGUUAAAGGCUGUGGCUUAACCAUAGUACGCUUUGGAAACUGUUUAACUUGAGUGCAAGAGGGGAGAGUGGAAUUCCAUGUGUAGCGGUGAAAUGCGUAGAUAUAUGGAGGAACACCGGUGGCGAAAGCGGCUCUCUGGCCUGUAACUGACGCUGAGGCUCGAAAGCGUGGGGAGCAAACAGGAUUAGAUACCCCCGUAGUCCCUGUCUCUUAUACC